rnacentral:lncRNA from 1 species
GCUCCUUAUCCGUUGCGUAGGGAUAAGUCUGAUUGGUGGGUUGUAAUCAAAACAAAACCGAUGGGGCGAGUGGAAGUUGAGAAUGAAUUGGAUGUUGCAUAUCAAAAUGAAAUAUCAAGUGUUCAUCAAGUAGUGGAUGCUGAAUUGACAUUUUAGACUUCUAUAUUUUUGGAAUCGUUUGAUCGUAUUUUAGUUUAUUUUGAAGUUGGAUGAAGUUUAUUUUGAAAUAGUUUAAUGUAUAUGUUGAAAAUAUUGUGUUGUUUUGGUUGGAUGAAGUUUAUUUUGAAAUAGUUUAAUGUAUAUGUUGAAAAUAUUGUGUUGUUUUGGUUGGAUGAAGUUUAUUUUGAAAUAGUUUAAUGUAUAUGUUGAAAAUAUUGUGUUGUUUUGGUUGGAUGAAGUUUAUUUUGAAAUAGUUUAAUGUAUAUGUUGAAAAUAUUGUGUUGUUUUGGUUGGAUGAAGUUUAUUUUGAAAUAGUUUAAUGUAUAUGUUGAAAAUAUUGUGUUGUUUUGGUUGGAUGAAGUUUAUUUUGAAAUAGUUUAAUGUAUAU